CGCCAGACUCCUACGGGAGGCAGCAGUGAGGAAUAUUGGUCAAUGGGCGGGAGCCUGAACCAGCCAAGUCGCGUGAGGGAUGACGGCCCUAUGGGUUGUAAACCUCUUUUGCCGGGGAGCAAAGUGCCGCACGUGUGCGGUUUGGAGAGUACCCGGAGAAAAAGCAUCGGCUAACUCCGUGCCAGCAGCCGCGGUAAUACGGAGGAUGCGAGCGUUAUCCGGAUUUAUUGGGUUUAAAGGGUGCGUAGGCGGUUUGAUAAGUUAGAGGUGAAAUACCGGUGCUCAACACCGGAACUGCCUCUAAUACUGUUGAACUAGAGAGUAGUUGCGGUAGGCGGAAUGUAUGGUGUAGCGGUGAAAUGCUUAGAGAUCAUACAGAACACCGAUUGCGAAGGCAGCUUACCAAACUAUAUCUGACGUUGAGGCACGAAAGCGUGGGUAGCAAACAGGAUUAGAUACCCGCGUA
rnacentral:rRNA from 1 species